rnacentral:lncRNA from 1 species
AGAAAACGAUAGCAAUAAACUUGACACGAUCAUAUGCUACGUUUAUAGUUUAGGUCUUGUCCAUCACAUCAUUCUCCCAAUGAUGUGAUCCCGUUAUCAAAUGACAACUCAUGUCUAUUGCUAGAAAACCAUAGCCAUCUUUCCACUAGAGACAUGUUGUUGUCUAUGUAUCCACACAUGUAUUUGAGUUUCCGACCAAUACAAUUAUAACAUGGAUAAUAAACGAUUAUCAUGAACAGGGAAAUAUGAUAAUAAGCAAUUUAUUAUUGCCUCUAGGGCAUAUUUCCAACACCCACAAGCCCUCAGGGCGCGCCCUGGGGGUAGGGUGCGCCGCCUAGCUUGUGGCCUCCUCAGUCACCUCCUGGUCUAGCUCCAGUGCUUCAAGAGUCUCUUUUGGUCCAUAAAAAAACACCGUAAAAUUUCAGCCCAUUCCGAGAACUUUUAUUUCUGCACAAAAAACAACACCACGAUAGCUCUACUGAAACAACGUCAGUCCGGGUUAGUUAUAAUCAAAUCAUACCAAAACCAUAUAGAAUUGUUACAAACAUCGCAUGAAUAUUUCAUAAAUUAUAAAUACGUUAGAGACGUAUUGUAACACCCCAAGCCAACAAAACGCUUGGAAUAUUACCACAAUUACCACAAACAACUUUGGGAAAGUGAACAUGCCCUCGAAGGAAAUUUCGGCAGAGUUUCCUCUAUUUCUAAGGACAUCCACGACAUGCAAUUCAUAUAAUUAUAUAACACAAGGAACAUAACAUAAGUGUAGAGCACCAAGCUACACUACCAUAACCGAGAACACCAGCGAUAACAUAAGACUUAGGAAGAGCUAAGUAAGACACGCAAACGAAAAGGGCAACUUCCAAACUUCAGGACAAACCACCAAGCUUAGCAAAGUAUAAACUAUACUAGGUUCUCAAAACAUGGUCCUAAAGUACAAUAUAUGUGAGUUUCGUGUAGUGAACAGGGUGGUGAUGCUACUCCCAAGACUCCCAUGCAUGCCGUCCUCAGGGUUUACCUAAAAACAUAUAAACAACAAGGAUGAGUACAAAGACUCAGCAAGUACAUACAAGAAUAAUAAGCGUUACACAUGUCAAGAUACCAAAUCUCUACUAAACACCAUACCCUCAUCAGCACCCAACACUAGUAUUCAUGUCCUACAUGCCUACAUGCUCAUCUCAUUUCAUUGCGUAUACCGGUAUCGCUUGAGUGGACGCCCGUCGACAUCCACUCACUCCAACGCAUGGAGGUUGCCUCCAAAGUAGGUCGCAACCCAACAAUGGAGGUCUCAAUGUGCCUACCCAAGGUAGGGACCUCUUUCUUUCACUAUCAUCAUGAGUGCAGAUAUGCAAAUGCAAGCAAAGUACUUGAAUCAACAUGUCUUUGUCAUCGUCAUCUCCAUCAUAAUAAACAUCAUUGACCUGGGCAAAUAUCAUGAUACAAAAAGGGCAGGGGAUAUGCAACGUCAUUAUCCUGUCAUGAACUUGCCUCAACCGCGAGGCACAACUUGUGGGUUAAAGGAUCCUGAACCAGAAGUACCAACACCUGUAAACAGGCAUAUAUCACAACCAAUACAAAAACAUGGACUUAUCAUCUAAACAUAUAUAAUUCAGCUUCGCUCCUACGCAUAAGACCACGGUGCAUAUCGAUCAACAUUGACGAAAUCUGAGAAUAUAUACUUGUUCCUCCACCCAAGUCCAUAUAUUAAAAUUCUGUCCAACAUAGUACAGCCCACCUUGAUAAUUUCAUAGGAUUUAAUAUACCAAACGAAAUCUAAUAAAUGAUAUGUGUUUAAGCAUCUACAGAACAGCCUGUACAAUUGUCAUGUUGUAACUUUAAUUUAAUUCAAUCUGUACCAUAUGAGAAUUCUGCACCCACGAAAAUAUAUUUCCGGACAGAAAACUAAAUUGAUGGCUGCUCUCAAAUCGUACAUCCAAACGAAGCAAAUAAGUACUCUACGGAAACCUUAGAACUUGCUUUACAAAUCAUAUAAAGGGACCAACUCGAAAUUCUGAGCAUAACUAACUCGUUUUUCACCUAGAAGCUGGCUGUCCAGAUCUGACAGUGCAGUUUUUCUGCAGUUUAUGUGCAGUUUUAACCGAACCAAGUUCAGUUUACAGGGAGAGAUACCCAAUGCUCCAGAUUUUUGCUUGGAAGCAAUCAACACCAUGCAACAUCAUAGAUGGGCUAUCCUCCCUAAUUGAUUUGGUUAAUCAAAGGACCAACAUAGGGAAGGUCCAGCCUGGGUGCCAAAACAAAAUAGGUACAAAUAUUGAAUCACCAACAAAAUUGUGAAUUGGUUCAUGAAUCCACCUCCAGUCCUCAAAUCUACUUCUAACAUAUGAGUUGCUGCCCCAAAUCCCUAAUUCUGACCUAGGAAGCACCAUAGAAAAGGAGAACUGGGACGUACCGCUAGCAACAACGACGCCCAGCAGCCAGCACUGCCCGGCAACGACCACUGAGAGGAGAGGCGUUGGGACAGCAGCAACCUCACGGGUCACGGCGGGGGUAGCCACCAGCAGCAGCGACGGCAGUAGCCUUUGUUCGGAAGACCAGAGGAAGGCUUUGGUGAGGGGAACAGAAGAAAAACAGGGUUUGAGCACAGCCUACAGCGGCGCAAGGUCGGGGGUAGCCACCAGCAGCAGUGACGGCAGUAGCCUUUGUUGGGAAGACCAGAGGAAGGCUUUGGUGAGGGGAACAGAAGAAAAACAGGGUUUGAGCACAGCCUACAGCGGCGCAAGGUCGGGGGUAGCCACCAGCAGCAGCGACGGCAGUAGCCUUUGUUGGGAAGACCAGAGGAAGGCUUUGGUGAGGGGAACAGAAGAAAAACAGGGUUUGAGCACAGCCUACAGCGGCGCAAGGAGCGACCGAGGGCCACCCCUUGUCUGACUGGGCCUUGAGCCCAUAUAGGAUUUUCUUUCCUCUCGUUUUAGAAGGGCUUAUAAAGAGCUGUAGUCUGAUAUUUAGACAAACACACCACAUAGACCAACUGGUAUUUGGCCUAGUUACUAAGAGCUGCAAGGUUCAAAUGCUAACACACCUUUUUUUUAUUUCUUUCCUUUUGCCUCUUCCAUUUAANNNNNNNNNNNNNNNNNNNNNNNNNNNNNNNNNNNNNNNNNNNNNNNNNNNNNNNNNNNNNNNNNNNNNNNNNNNNNNNNNNNNNNNNNNNNNNNNNNNNNNNNNNNNNNNNNNNNNNNNNNNNNNNNNNNCUCUCUCUCUAUUUCUCUCUCUCAUUUUGCUUUUCCUGUUCUUACAUCAAGUUCGAUAACCACUGACUCUACCUUAUUCAUCAGUUUAAACAUAAUAUAGGCACAGUUAUGUAGCCAACGAAAGCUAGGGUAUUACAUUCUCACCCCCUUAAGCAGAAUUCGACCUCGAAUUCUUCACCACGUUACUACUCACAAAACUGGUGUAGCUGAUAAGUAAGAAAUGGAAAAGAAAACCAUACACCAUGUACCGGUCUCGAACACUUCCGAAAUACUUCUCGCGCAUGCGCGACUCAAGCUUCCAAGUCGCCUCACGCUCGGAUUGUUGCGAUCUGAGAACCUUCACAUACUUAAGCGUCUUAUUCCUCAACACUCUCUCAGACUCUUCGAGUAUCCUCACACGGCGAGCCUCGAAAGUCACAUCUUGCUCAAUCAUAAUCGGUUCGACAAUCAGUUGUCGUUCGGGAUUUCAGAAGUACUUACGUAACAUGGAUACAUGGAAUACGUUGUGCACACCUUUCAUUGACUAGGGCAAGUCAAGAUGAUAGGCUAGUUUCCCCACUCGUGCUACUAUAAGAAGGGUCCAACGUACAGUGGGCUAAGCUUUCCUUUGAUAUUGAACCCAAUAACACCCUUGGUUGGAGAGACUCUUAAAAGUACCUAUUCUCCUUCCUCCUUCCUGAAACUCCACAUUCUGCCUCUUAGGAUCGGCAUAGCACUUUUGCCUACUCUGGGCUGCUAGCAUAUGGUGUCUAAUUUUAGCUAUCCUCUUCGUAUUUCUUUCAACCCAAUCUGGUCCCAACACUGCCUUCUCGUCCACUGCAUUCCAACAUACUGGAGACCUACACUUCCUUCCAUACAAGGCCUCAUAAGGUGCCAUCCGAAUGCUAGCUUGAUAACUGCUAUUGUAAGCAAACUCCACAAGCGGUAGAUGAUCCUCCCAGCUCCCUUGCCACGAUAGGACACAACACCGCAACAUAUCUUCCAAAGUUUGGAUGGUACGCUCUGACUGGCCAUCUGUUUGGGGAUGAAAUGUCGUGCUAAUCCUCAACUGUGUACCCAUUGCACUCUGCCAGCUCAACCAGAGAUACAAACUUGGCAUCUCUAUCAGAAGUAAGUCUUUGGAACUCCAUGCAAUCUUACUAUCUCAUGCACAUAUAUUGGUGCCAAGUCACUUGCCGAGUCUAUGGUUCGGAAAGGAGCAUAAUGAGCCACUUUGGUAAGUCGGUUCACCACCACCCAAAUUGCAUCCCUUCCCCUUCAAGUGCGAGGUAGGCCAACAGCAAAUCCAUGGCGAUGUCAUCCCAUGGCCACUUUGGAACCUCUAAGGACUGCAACAAACCAGCUGGUCUCUUAUGCUCCGCCUUCACAAGUUGACAGACCACACAAGAAGCCGCAUACUUUGCCACAUCAACUUUCAUCCUUUUCCACCAAUAAGUCCUCUUCAAAUCUUGAUACAUCUUUGUCUCUCCAGGAUGAACCGUAUAUGGGGUACGAUGUGCUUCUCUCAGAAUAUCCUCCUUGACCUGGGACUUUUGUGGCACACAAAGACAGCCAUGAAACCGAACAGAUCCAGUCCCAUCUAGAUUGAAAUCUCCAGUUCUACCUUCUUGGAUGCGCUUCCGCACCUCCAACAACAACCGGUCAUUCUGUUGUGCCUCUCUCACUCUGUCUGGGAUAGUUGACUGAAGGAUGAAUUGUGUCUCCUCAUGUGCUACACCAGCAAAACAAUAUGAGAUGCCUAUCCGCUCAAAAUCAGCAAUGUGACAACCUAAAGUGGGAGGGACAAUCUUGCGGCUAAGAGCAUCCGCAACCACAUUUGCUUUGCCAGGGUGGUACUGGAUUGAGAGGUCAUCGUCCUUUAUCAAUUCUAAGCAUCGUCUUUGCCUCAAGUUUAGCUCCUUUUGAGUGAAGAUAUAUUUGAGACUCUUAUGAUCAGUGAAAAUAUCACAAGAUUCUCCGUAAAGAUAAGGCCUCCAUAUCUUGAGUGCAAAGACCACAGCCGCAAGCUCUAGAUCAUGUGUAGGAUAGUUCUGCUCAUGCUUUUCCAGUUGCCUAGAAGCAUAGGAAAUUACCUUUCCAUCUUGCAUAAGAACGCACCCAAGACCAACCCGGGAAGCAUCAGAGUACACUGUGAAGCGUUUCCCAGGUUCAAGUUGUGUGAGAACUGGCGCAGUCACCAAUCUAUUCUUUAGUGUAGUGAAACUAUUCUCACAUUCAGCAUCCCACUGAAAUUUCACAUCCUUUUGGUGUUAGCUUUGUCAUUAGCUUGACGAUAAUAGAGAAUUCCUUCACAAAUUGCCGAUAGUAAUCAGCUAGGCCCAAGAAACUUCUUACUUCUUUAACAUUGGACAGUGGCUUGGCGAUCAAGGAUGUCUUCGAAUAGAUAAGAAUGUCUUCGAAUGUCCUACUCACGCACGCGAAUUCGAUUAUACCCAGACUGCAAAUCUAUCUUGAAGAACCCCUUAGCUCCCUUUGGUUGAUCGAACAAGUCUUGAAUGCAAGACAAAGUACUCUUAUUCUUGAUGGUGACGGCAUUAAGAGCACGAUAGUUCACACACAUUCGCCAGCUACCAUCCCUCUUAAGUAUGAAUAACACAUGUGCUCACCAAGGUGACACACUACGCCAAAUCAACCCCUUGGAUAACAUAUCAUCCAACUAUUUCUUCAAUUCUUCUCGAAGUGUUCGUGCCAACCGAUAUGGGGGCAUGGAGAUAGGUCGGGUACCAGGAAUAAGAUCAAUUCGGAAGUCCACAUCCCUCUCUAGAGGCAUACCAGGCAAAUCAUCAGGGAAAACAUCUACGUAAUCACAUACCACCAGAAUGGCUUUGAUUGGUAACAUAGUAUUCGGGGUCUCGGCAAGGGCCUAUAGAAAACCGGUCUUGACUGCUCGUUGGCCAGGAACAAGCUAGAUAGGACCGGUAGAAAGUGCGGAGCAGCAUCUCCCUGAAAGAUCAACUCACCAGAUGGGGCAGUGACAUGGUCCUCCAAAAACAUGAUCUCACGACAUGGUAUCGAUGUGGCCAAUCCAUGCCAAGAAUAACAUCGAAAGGCUUUAGUGGAAUCACCAUAAGAUUAGCAAUGAAAUCCUCAUCAUCUAUAGAUAUCACACACCCAGGGCGGACUAUGGAUGAAGAAAUUGGACCACCGGGAGAACUAACAAACACUGACUGAGCAAUUUUCUACCUAGAUAAGUUGGCCUUAUUUGCAAAUUCCGACGACACGAACGAAUAAGUAGGUCCAGAAUCGAAAAGGACAGGUGCAACAUGUGAGUCAACUGGAAGUAUACCUGGCAUGGAGUGAAUUCCAGGCUAUGGUCAAAUAGAGGAAGACCCAACACCCUGCUGUGGCGGUGCGGGUAGCUGAAGUGGAGCUGUCAAUGUAGGAAGAUUAGAUGAAGCCAACGGAACAGCCCGCCAAACGUAGCUAGGAGGUGGCAUACAUGCUGGUGUUAACUGGGGAGUAGUAGGGGCAGCGGCAAACACAUGCAUAGAUCACCGUGAUGAUGCAGGCAUUGGAUCCCACUUGAUAAUGCUGGCGGGGUUUUGACGAUAUGACAGUCCCUUAUGACCCUCACGACUGCAAUGGUAGCAUUUCCUAGUCCAGGCACACUCAGAAGCACGGCGUCCUUCACCAGAGUUGAAACAAAUCAUGCCUUGCCCUGGCACCGGGCGGAAAGACAGAGCCGCUAACGAAGAACGAGGCAUUGAAGAAGACUGUGACCUUGACUACUUGAACUUAGUUGUUUGUUGUGCACGAUGCUUCCCUUGAACUUCGUGAAAGAAGGUCGAUGGCAAACCCACUUCCACCACGGUAACUCCUCUUCGAGUCACCACCCGGGCCACUAGAACCUCUAGUGCGAUUCUCCCGGGCUUCUGUGAGGUGGACAUCCAACUCCAUCCCUCUAGCCUGCCUAACCAUUGUUAGGUAAUCUAUAGGGGAAUUUGCUCCAAUCACUUCUCUGUACUUUGAAUUCAGCCCCCUAAAUAAUGCCUUAGCCUUCUCGGCCUCAUUACACUUCACCCGAUCCACAAAAAGUACCAUCUUACUAAAUUCUGCCUCAUACUCAUCCACGGCCAACUUCCCUUCUUAAUGUAGUUCAACUUCAUCACCGACAUUUCCUCCUUGGAUGAUUCUAAAUAAUACUUUGCGGUGAAUUUUUGAACAAAAACUCUCAGAUGGGUUGCCCAUAAAUAGGGAUAUAAGCAGCACUGACUCCUGUCCACCAAUCAUCAGCAAGAUUCUUAAGGUUGAAGCGCACAAAUUGGGCUCUCUUUUGCGAAGUCAACUCCAUAGCAUCCAUAUAUUUCUCCAUGGUAUUCAACCACGAUGCUGCAUCCAUUGGUGUCCCAGAUCCAUCAAAGCAAUCAGUUUUCAAACUUAUUCAGUUUUUUUAGGAUCAUCCCUGGAUCAUUGGGCCCACCACUAUUAGCAGAUUCUCUUGCGGGUCCUCCUUCACGAUGACUAUGCUCACUUUCCGCAUAGGAUUCCUCUACAUGAUUGUUGCGUCCUCUACGACCACAGGCACAAGGACCACGACCACGACCUCUACCCCUUAAGCAUAGCUAUAAGUAGCAUAAUCAAUCAUCAACCCAAAAGUCAUGAUCAUAUGCCGACAUAAGUAUGUCAACAUGAAAUGAAAACAUUAACUUAAGUGUAAUGCAAUGCAUGACCCAACCCAUCCUAUUGUGCACCAGUGUGUCAAGUUUUAAUGUUGUUUAUCAUAAAGUCAAAGUUUUAGUCAAUGCCAAGUUCAUAACUGAGUUAUGUCGUUAUCCUAUCUUGAUACACACCAGGACCUAAAGCCCGCUUUGAUACCAACUGUAACACCCCAAGCCAACAAAACGCUUGGAAUAUUACCACAAACAACUUUGGGAAAGUGAACAUGCCCUCAAAGGAAAUUUCGGCAAAGUUUCCUCUAUUUCUAAGGACAUCCACGACAUGCAAUUCAUAUAAUUAUAUAACACAAGGAACAUAACAUAAGUGUAGAGCACCAAGCUACACUACCAUAACCGAGAACACCAGCGGUAACAUAAGACUUAGGGAGAGCUGAUUAAGACACACAAACGAAAAGGGCAACUUCCAAACUUCAGGACAAACCACCAAGCUUAGCAAAGUAUAAACUAUACUAGGUUCUCAAAACAUGGUCCUAAAGUACAAUAUAUGUGAGUUUCGUGUAGUGAACAGGGUGGUGAUGCUACUCCCAAGACUCCCAUGCAUGUCGUCCUCAGGGUUUACCUAAAAACAUAAACAACAAGGAUGAGUACAAAGACUCAGCAAGUACAUACAAGAAUAAUAAGCGUUACACAUGUCAAGAUACCAAAUCUCUACUAAACACCAUACCCUCAUCAGCACCCAACACUAGUAUUCAUGUCCUACAUGCCUACAUGCUCAUCUCAUUCAUUGCGUAUACCGGUAUCGCUUGAGUGGACGCCCGUCGACAUCCACUCACUCCAACGCAUGGAGGUUGCCUCCAAAGUAGGUCGCAACCCAACAAUGGAGGUCUCAAUGUGCCUACCCAAGGUAGGGACCUCUUUCUUUCACUAUCAUCAUGAGUGCAGAUAUGCAAAUGCAAGCAAAGUACUUGAAUCAACAUGUCUUUGUCAUCGUCAUCUCCAUCAUAAUAAACAUCAUUGACAUGGGCAAAUAUCAUGAUACAAAAAGGGCAGGGGAUAUGCAACGUCAUUAUCCUGUCAUGAACUUGCCUCAACCGCGAGGCACAACUUGUGGGUUAAAGGAUCCUGAACCAGAAGUACCAACACCUGUAAACAGGCAUAUAUCACAACCAAUACAAAAACAUGGACUUAUCAUCUAAGCAUAUAUAAUUCAGCUUCGCUCCUACGCAUAAGACCCCAGUGCAUAUCGAUCAACAUUGACGAAAUCUGAGAAUAUAUACUUGUUCCUCCACCCAAGUCCAUAUAUUAAAGUUCUGUCCAACAUAGUACAGCCCACCUUGAUAAUUUCAUAGGAUUUAAUAUACCAAACGAAAUCUAAUAAAUGAUAUGUGUUUAAGCAUCUACAGAACAGCCUGUACAAUUGUCAUGUUGUAACUUUAAUUUAAUUCAAUCUGUAACAUAGCCUAAUUUGCCAUAUGAGAAUUCUGCACCCACGAAAAUAUAUUUCCGGACAGAAAACUAAAUUGAUGGCUGCUCUCAAAUCGUACAUCCAAACGAAGCAAAUAAGUACUCUACGGAAACCUUAGAACUUGCUUUACAAAUCAUAUAAAGGGACCAACUCGAAAUUCUGAGCAUAACUAACUCGUUUUUCACCUAGAAGCUGGCUGUCCAGAUCUGACAGUGCAGUUUUUCUGCAGUUUAUGUGCAGUUUUAACCGAACCAAGUUCAGUUUACAGGGAGAGAUACCCAACGCUCCAGAUUUUUGCUUGGAAGCAAUCAACACCAUGCAACAUCAUAGAUGGGCUAUCCUCCCUAAUUGAUUUGGUUAAUCAAAGGAACCAACAUAGGGAAGGUCCAGCCUGGGUGCCAAAACAAAAUAGGUACAAAUAUUGAAUCACCAACAAAAUUGUGAAUUGGUUCAUGAAUCCACCUCCAGUCCUCAAAUCUACUUCUAACAUAUGAGUUGCUGCCCCAAAUCCCUAAUUCUGACCUAGGAAGCACCAUAGAAAAGGAGAACUGGGACGUACCGCUAGCAACAACGACGCCCAGCAGCCAGCACUGCCCGGCAACGACCACGGAGAGGAGAGGCGUCGGGGACAGCAGCAACCUCACGGGUCACGGCGGGGGUAGCCACCAGCAGCAGCGACGGCAGUAGCCUUUGUUGGGAAGACCAGAGGAAGGCUUUGGUGAGGGGAAUAGAAGAAAAACAGGGUUUGAGCACAGCCUACAGCGGCGCAAGGAGCGACCGAGGGCCACCCCUUGUCUGAC